rnacentral:rRNA from 1 species
AGAAUCUGGCUUCAGGUUCGGGACAACAGUUGGAAACGGCUGCUAAUACCGGAUGUGCCUUAUGGUGAAAGAUUUAUCACCUGAAGAUGAGCUCGCGUCUGAUUAGCUAGUUGGUGUGGUAAGAGCGCACCAAGGCGACGAUCAGUAGCUGGUCUGAGAGGAUGAUCAGCCACACUGGGACUGAGACACGGCCCAGACUCCUACGGGAGGCAGCAGUGGGGAAUUUUCCGCAAUGGGCGAAAGCCUGACGGAGCAAUACCGCGUGAGGGAGGAAGGCUCUUGGGUUGUAAACCUCUUUUCUCAGGGAAGAAUAAUGACGGUACCUGAGGAGUAAGCAUCGGCUAACUCCGUGCCAGCAGCCGCGGUAAUACGGAGGAUGCAAGCGUUAUCCGGAAUGAUUGGGCGUAAAGCGUCCGCAGGUGGCAAUGUAAGUCUGCUGUCAAAGCGUCUGGCUCAACCAGAUAAAGGCAGUGGAAACUACAUAGCUAGAGUAAGGUAGGGGUAGAGGGAAUUCCUGGUGUAGCGGUGAAAUGCGUAGAGAUCAGGAAGAACACCGGUGGCGAAGGCGCUCUGCUGGACCUUAACUGACACUGAGGGACGAAAGCUAGGGGAGCGAAUGGGAUUAGAUACCCCAGUAGUC